rnacentral:lncRNA from 1 species
UACUCAAUCCUUACUCCGAGGUUACUCAGCCCUUUCUUCAGGGUUCUUUGGCGCUUUGUCUCUGCUCAGCCCUUACUCUGGCUUUACUCCACCCUUAUUUAGGAGCAACCUGGUGCUUUGACAUUACUCAGCCCUUACUCUGAGUUUACUCCAUCCUUCUUUGGUGAUUACUUUGUCAGUAUUCAGCCCUUACUCUGAAUUUACUCCGCCCUUAAUUCGGAGUCCCCUCGUCACUUUGUCACUACUCCAUCCUUACUCUGAGUUUACUCAGCCCUUCUUUGAGGGUUACUUGGUUCCACGUUACUACUCAGCCGUUACUCUGUGCUUACUCAGCCCUUAUUUGGAGGUUACUCGGUACUUUGCCAAUCCUCUGCCCUUACCCCCAGCCACUUCCUCUGCCUUUACUCCUCUCAUACUCACACUUUCCCCCCAAGGAUAUACUCCUCUCUUCUAUUAUUGCUUUACUCACCCUUUACUCAUGCUUUGCUCACUGCUUCUCCCUCCCCCAGGCACUACUCCACUCUUACACCCUUCCCCCAAGGCCCCUCAGCCCUUACUCAGAGGUUACUCACAGGCUCUUACCACCACGUCACCCUCUCUGGCCCUGUGUUAGCUUACUCAGAACGAACCUGGCAUUACUCAGCACUUACUCAGCACUUACUCAGCACUUACUCAGCACUUCAUCCAUCUCCUCGCGCUCUACUCCAGGUUUACUCCAAGCCUCCCCACCCCUGCGGUGCCUUUACUCAGAGGUUCCGUGGCUGCAGCUCUGCCUUUCCCCACUUACUCCAAGGUUACUCUGCCCUUACUACCGGCACUUCUCCUUGGGGGGGGUUCAAGCUGAUGUUACUCAGCCACUACUACAGCUCACAAGCGUUACACUGAGGUUACUCAGCCCUCACUGCGGUUGCACAAACGUUACUCCCGCGUCGGCCCUUGCUCUGCUGAGAUCACACCUUACUCUGAGUUUACACCCUCUUUACUCCCAGGUUCCCCCUUCCUCCAAAGUUCAUCUGUGUUACUCUGUCGUUACUCACAAUGGCCUUACUCCCUCUUUACUCCGCUGUUACUCCAUGGUUACUCCAUGGUUACCCCACCCAAUGUCAGGGUCUGCAUUGCCCCCCCCCCCAAAUGUUGGGUAAUAGGGGAGGGCUUACUCCGGGUUUGCUCAACCCUUACUCUGACUUUACUCAACCCUUACUCUGGUCUUACUCAGCCCUUACUCGGGGUUGCCCCAUGCAUGCGUGUCCUUACUCAGCCCUUACUCCAGGUUUGCACAUGGGGUUGUGACGGGGGCCUUACCCCAUACUUAGUGAUUAUUCGGUACUUUGUCCCUACUCAAUCCUUACUCUGACUUUACUCAGCCCUUACUUUGGGUAUUUCCCAUUAUUUUGUCACUAAUCCGCCUUUACUCCUGGCUUACUCAGCCCUUACUCUGCGAUUACUCUGCCCUUACUCGGGGUCACUCAUGCUGAGUGUCCCUACUCAGACCUUACUCCAGGUUUGCUCAACCCUUACUCUGACUUUACUCAACCCUUACUCUGGUCUUACUCAGCCCUUACUCGGGUUCACCCCAUGCAUGCGUGCCCUUACUCAGCCCUUACUCCAGGUUUGCACAUGGGGUUGUGACGGGGGCCUUACCCCAUACUUAGUGAGUAUUCGGUACUUUGUCACUACUCAAUCCUUACUCUGAGCUUACUCAGCCCUUACUCGGGGUCACCCCAUGCAUGCGUGCCCUUACUCAGCCCUUACUACAGGUUUGCUCAUGGGGUUGUGGCAGGGGCCUUACUCACCCCACACUUUGUGAUUAUUCGGUACUUUGUCACUACUCAAUCCUUACUCUGAGUUUACUCAGCCCUUCAGGUAUUUCCCAUUAUUUUGUCACUAAUCAGCCUUUACUCUGAGCUUACUCAGCCCUUACUCUGGGCUUACUCUGCCCUUACUCGGGGUCACCCCAUGCAUGCGUGCCCUUACUCAGCCCUUACUCCAGGUUUGCUCAUGGGGUUGUGGCAGGGGCCUUACCCCACACUUCAUGAUUAUUCGGUACUUUGUCCCUACUCAAUCCUUACUCUGAGUUUACUCAGCCCUUACUUUGGGUGUUACCCGUUAUUAUUUCACUGCUCAGCCUUUACUCCAAGUCUG